AUGCUCGUUCGCAUCAACACCCUCCUCCAAGGCUAUUCUGGCAUCCGUUUUGAGAUCCUCGAGGCCAUCACAAAGCUCAUCAACAAAGGAGUACACCCCAGGAUUCCCCUCCGAGGCAGCAUCACCGCGAGCGGCGACGUUGUCCCACUUGCUUACAUCGCGGGUGUCCUUACCGGACGCCCCAACGCGCAGGCAGUUACCAAUGACGGUAGGAUGGUGAAUGCCACCGAGGCACUAAAGAUCGCCGGGAUAGAUGGUGGCUUCUUCAAGCUGAACCCCAAGGAGGGGCUUGCAAUUGUAAAUGGUACGGCGGUGGGUUCUGCCCUCGCAGCCAUGGUGUUGUUUGACUGCAACGUCCUGGCUGUCCUAUCUGAGAUUUUGGCCGCGAUGUUUUGUGAGGUAAUGUACGGCAAACUGGAGUACACCGACCACCUGAUCCACAAGCUAAAACAUCACCCUGGCUCGAUCGAGGCUGCGGCUAUCAUGGAGCACAUUCUGGUUGGUAGCUCAUUCAUGGUCCAUGCCAAGAUGGUGAAUGCUAUGGACCCACUCCUCAAGCCAAAGCAGGACAGGUAUGCACUCCGUACCGCGCCUCAGUGGCUUGGCCCGCAGAUUGAGGUCAUUCGGGCAGCUACCAAGUCUAUCGAGCGUGAGGUGAACUCUGUCAAUGACAACCCGGUCAUCGACGUCAAACGUGGCAAAGCACUCCAUUGUGGUAAUUUCCAGGGGACACCCAUCGGUGUGUCCAUGGACAAUACUCGUCUUGCCAUUGCUAACAUUGGUAAACUCAUGUUCGCGCAGUUCUCAGAACUUGUGAAUGAGUUCUACAACAAUGGGCUGACGUCAAACCUGGCUGGCAGUCGCAACCCAAGUUUGGACUAUGGUCUCAAAGGCAUCGAGAUUGCCAUGGCCUCCUACUGCUCUGAGCUCCAAUACCUUGCCAACCCAGUGACCACCCAUGUCCAGAGCGCGGAGCAACACAACCAGGGGGUGAACUCACUCGGCCUUAUCUCGGCCAGGAAGACUGCAGAAGCGGUGGACAUUCUGAAACUCAUGUCCUCCACGUACAUGGUGGCGCUUUGCCAGGCCGUCGACCUUCGCCACCUCGAGAGGAACAUCAAGAUCAACGUCAACAGAUGUGUGGCAGAAGUUGCCAAGAAGGUGCUCAAUGCCCCCAGCAUCGAGGAGAUUCUCAUGGCGGCCACCGACCGCGUGGACGUGUUCAGCUACGCCGACGACCCCUGCAGCACCAACUACCCCCUAAUGCAUAAGCUACGCAGCGGGCUCCUCGAGCAUGCUCUGUCCAGCAGGGGUAACGAUGAGGAGGUGUUGUCCAAGAUCAGUAAGUUGGAGGAGGAGCUGGGAUCGACACUGCCACGGGAGAUCGAGGCCGCACGCGUCGCCGUGGAGAAGGGCACCGCACCCAUCCCGAACAUGAUCAAGGGGAGCAGGUCAUUCCCGCUCUACCAAUUUGUUCGCGAGGAACUCGGUUGUGUGUUUCUGACUGGGGAGAAGCUUCUCGCGCCCGGCGAAGAGUGUGACAAGGUGUUCGUGGGGAUCAGCCAGGGCAAGCUCAUCGACCCCAUGCUCGAGUGCCUCAAGGAGUGGAACGGUGAGCCUCUGCCCAUCAACUAA
rnacentral:rRNA from 1 species